GUAAAAAUUAUUUUUACAGGCAUCUGUGAAAAAUGCAAUGGAUAUUCAUAAAAUCGGUAGGCCCAACAGCAGCCAAUCAGAGUGGAAAAAAUAUCCUUGUUCUGAGCCACUUUCUGAUGAUAGUUGCUAAAUUUUGCACAAAAUGACCAGAUAAAAGAAGAACAACAAUACAAGUUUAAACUUUGAUCUAUCUGCAAAACGACAGUGCUCUGCAACCUGAAAACAUGGAUACAACUGCAACUAUAUUAAUCAUAACUCUUCUUCUCUUCAGUGUUUCUGUGAGUUUCUAGUGGAGCAGCUCUGUGCUGCAUUCAGGAGAAUGGGAUAUCCAUUUUUAUCAUCCAUAAAAUGUCAGCCACAUGGCAUAACUAUGCAACAGAACUUUCAGUGGAAAAACAAAAGUUCCAGAUCAUUUUAAUGCCAUACAAAUAGAAGACAGGAACAUGGAUUAAAUCUUUUAUGUUUGUUUGUUUAUUCUUGCCAUACAAUCCUCUGUAUUAAUUAUUACUCUUAAGGUCUUGCCAUACCAACUGAUUCCUCUGCAUUUACUUUAGUUUCUUAGUUUAUUCUUGCAUUUUGUUCUUCUUUCAUUUCAUUUAGUUUUCUUUGGUUAGUAUUAUCCUCUCUUGGUUUAUUGUUAUGUUCUCCUUAUUUCCUGUUGCUAGUUU